rnacentral:rRNA from 1 species
AGUGAACGCUGGCGGUAGGCCUAACACAUGCAAGUCGAACGGCAGCACAGUAAGAGCUUGCUCUUACGGGUGGCGAGUGGCGGACGGGUGAGGAAUACAUCGGAAUCUACUUUUUCGUGGGGGAUAACGUAGGGAAACUUACGCUAAUACCGCAUACGACCUACGGGUGAAAGUAGGGGAUCUUCGGACCUUGCGCGAUUGAAUGAGCCGAUGUCGGAUUAGCUAGUUGGCGGGGUAAAGGCCCACCAAGGCGACGAUCCGUAGCUGGUCUGAGAGGAUGAUCGGCCACACGGGAACUGAGACACGGUCCAGACUCCUACGGAAGGCAGCAGUGGGAAAUAUUGGACAAGGGGGGAAAGCCUGAUCAAGCCAUACCGGGUGGGUGAAGAAGGCCUUCGGGUUGUAAAGCCCUUUUGUUGGGAAAGAAAAGCAGCAGGUUAAUACCCCGCUGUUCUGACGGUACCCAAAGAAUAAGCACCGGCAAACUUCGU